ACUUAAAUUGAAGAGUUUGAUCAUGGCUCAGAUUGAACGCUGGCGGCAGGCCUAACACAUGCAAGUCGAACGGUAGCACAGAGGAGCUUGCUCCUUGGGUGACGAGUGGCGGACGGGUGAGUAAUGUCUGGGGAUCUGCCCGAUGGAGGGGGAUAACUACUGGAAACGGUAGCUAAUACCGCAUAACGUCGCAAGACCAAAGUGGGGGACCUUCGGGCCUCACACCAUCGGAUGAACCCAGAUGGGAUUAGCUAGUAGGUGGGGUAACGGCUCACCUAGGCGACGAUCCCUAGCUGGUCUGAGAGGAUGACCAGCCACACUGGAACUGAGACACGGUCCAGACUCCUACGGGAGGCAGCAGUGGGGAAUAUUGCACAAUGGGCGCAAGCCUGAUGCAGCCAUGCCGCGUGUAUGAAGAAGGCCUUCGGGUUGUAAAGUACUUUCAGCGGGGAGGAAGGGGUUGAGUUUAAUACGCUCAAUCAUUGACGUUACCCGCAGAAGAAGCACCGGCUAACUCCGUGCCAGCAGCCGCGGUAAUACGGAGGGUGCAAGCGUUAAUCGGAAUUACUGGGCGUAAAGCGCACGCAGGCGGUCUGUCAAGUCGGAUGUGAAAUCCCCGGGCUUAACCUGGGAACUGCAUUCGAAACUGGCAGGCUAGAGUCUCGUAGAGGGGGGUAGAAUUCCAGGUGUAGCGGUGAAAUGCGUAGAGAUCUGGAGGAAUACCGGUGGCGAAGGCGGCCCCCUGGACGAAGACUGACGCUCAGGUGCGAAAGCGUGGGGAGCAAACAGGAUUAGAUACCCUGGUAGUCCACGCCGUAAACGAUGUCGACUUGGAGGUUGUGCCCUUGAGGCGUGGCUUCCGGAGCUAACGCGUUAAGUCGACCGCCUGGGGAGUACGGCCGCAAGGUUAAAACUCAAAUGAAUUGACGGGGGCCCGCACAAGCGGUGGAGCAUGUGGUUUAAUUCGAUGCAACGCGAAGAACCUUACCUGGCCUUGACAUCCAGAGAACUUAGCAGAGAUGCUUUGGUGCCUUCGGGAACUCUGAGACAGGUGCUGCAUGGCUGUCGUCAGCUCGUGUUGUGAAAUGUUGGGUUAAGUCCCGCAACGAGCGCAACCCUUAUCCUUUGUUGCCAGCGAUUCGGUCGGGAACUCAAAGGAGACUGCCGGUGAUAAACCGGAGGAAGGUGGGGAUGACGUCAAGUCAUCAUGGCCCUUACGGCCAGGGCUACACACGUGCUACAAUGGCGCAUACAAAGAGAAGCGACCUCGCGAGAGCAAGCGGACCUCAUAAAGUGCGUCGUAGUCCGGAUUGGAGUCUGCAACUCGACUCCAUGAAGUCGGAAUCGCUAGUAAUCGUAGAUCAGAAUGCUACGGUGAAUACGUUCCCGGGCCUUGUACACACCGCCCGUCACACCAUGGGAGUGGGUUGCAAAAGAAGUAGGUAGCUUAACCUUCGGGAGGGCGCUUACCACUUUGUGAUUCAUGACUGGGGUGAAGUCGUAACAAGGUAACCGUAGGGGAACCUGCGGUUGGAUCACCUCCUUACCUGAA
rnacentral:rRNA from 1 species